CAGGCCUCCCUCUGCUUGGUUCCAGUCGUGGGCAUGAGUGAGGGGCGAUGCUUGAUGGCUUUGAUGCCAUCGGUGGGAAUGUGUUUAAGCAUCGGCCUUCCCUCAUGACCACGAUGGUCUACAGUCUUGUGUACGAGUUAGUGACGUCGCUUGUUUGUUUUGAUGCUUGCGUUGGAACUUGCUUAAGCAACCGACCUGACGAAGUACCCAUGAAUGUCUCCCAUGAUGGUCUACAGUCUUGCGUACGAGUUAGUGACGUCGCUUGUUUGUUUUGAUGCUUGCGUUGGAACUUGCUUAAGCAACCGACCUGACGAAGUACCCAUGAAUGUCACCAAUGAUGGUCUACAGUCUAGCGUACGAGUUAGUGACGUCGCUUGUUUGUUUUGAUGCUUGCGUUGGAACUUGCUUAAGCAACCGAACUGACGAAGUACCCAUGAAUGUCGCCCAUGAUGGUCUACAGUCUUGGGUAUGAGUCAGUGACGAUGCUUGUUUGUUUUGAUGCUUGCGUUUGAACUUGCUUAAGCAACCGACCUGACGAAGUACCCAUGAAUGUCGCCCAUGAUGGUCUACAGUCUUGGGUAUGAGUCAGUGACGAUGCUUGUUUGUUUUGGAAGGCAAGGGGGUGCAAACACCAGUCGGCCUUUGUCCCGAUUGCUGAGUGUCAUGUGCUUGAUGUCCAAGGCUUGAAGCUGACCCUCCAAGUGGGGGCUUUUUUGUUCCUGCGGUAACGACUCUGUUGGGAUCAUUGUGAUCAAGUUUGGUUGGUUUCGUAUUGUGGUGGGUUUUUUCGAAGCUUCUAUCGUUCUUUUACGCAUCGUGCGGUGCAUCUUGGGGGCUGUUUUGGCUUUUGGUUGCUUGCUUGGGCUUUAUGCUAGGCGGGUGGCUAAU
rnacentral:misc_RNA from 1 species